GGCUCAGGAAGACCAUGCCAAUAUGAUCCUGGUCCCAUCCCAGCCCAUGUUCUAUGGACUGGGUCUGUUGGAGGGGCCAAGCCCAUAUGACAUGGAUCUAGAAGCCCCCCCUCUGUAUGAGGUCCAUAUAACCUGGUCACACAUAAGCUGCGCCGUGAUGGUGCCACCAUCACUGGACCUGAGGAACCGGGCGUCUUAGAGACUGUGAAUGCCUAUGAACUCAGCCAAGAACGCUUUUCCCCGAGUUGAGCCGAUCCUAUUGUAUCCCAAUGGGUUGGUUGUUUAGAAUGAACAAGCCUGCAAACACUGAGCCGAGCUGGAGCAUGCUUGAUGAACCAGACCCAGCAGGACCUGAAGCUUCCCAUAGAGGACAAAGUGGCCUGGUCUUCACACCAUCCCAAUAUGAAAUGGAAGUGCCACAUCUUUCUACAGUAAAGAUGUUUUUUUUUUAACUGUUGAUGUAGUCCCAUUUAUGGUAUAUAAGACGAGUCUAAGGGGACAACAUCCAAAAAGGACAACGGCAAUGGCGGCAAAGGGUAGUCAAAUAAUCUCUUUAGAAGCAAUGCCACAUCAUGUUUGAUGGACCAAGCCUGUGACUUUCUCUAUACUAGCGCUGAAGGAUUUCUCAAAGGAGAGGAUAGAGAGUUUCCUCUCAACUAUGAACCUUUCGCAGGUCAAGACAGAAAAGAAGCACAUCUUUGUCUCAUUCAUAGACUUGAUGUGCACUUUCUAUCUGACAAGUCAUGAAUAUAAAAAUAUGAAUAUGAAUAUGAAAAUAUGAAACGGUAGAACAAAAUUCCUCUGAUGAGAAUAUAAUCGUACAACUAGUUCAUUAAACCUUUUAUCUUAAAUAGGAGGAGAAGAUCUUACUCCUUCAGGUAUAAACUGUACACACUCACCAUCCUGUAGAAAUGUGACUUUCAUGGACUGCAAUGGUGCUAAAGGAGAGGUCGAGCCCCAGCCACCCGUGUGCAUUCUGUAGAAAUACUGCCAGUUCGUUUAGUGCUGUAAACCUCUCUUGUGCCAUAUCUUUGUAGCCACAGAUGUCUUAUCCUGUUUUCUGUGCCUAUCAGCCAAACGGGGUUAUAGUUUGUGCUCGGAUCAGGGCCUAGACUGACGACCGUGUCCACAUGUACAGGAAAACAGUGUUUCGUUUUUGUUGAAGUGCAAUAGUUUUCACCCAGGUGUAUGGUAAGCUGUUGCUCCCCUUAUUAAAAUGCCUUUACUUCGAACACUUUUGAACUUGACAUUUGAUAUCAGUGUCCACAUGUGUGUGUAUUCGAUCAAAAUGUCAGCAAAAGUGCCAUUUUGCCAAAAUAUUUUGCUAUGUUUUAUUAAUGUAUUCUUUUUUUAGUAAUGUUUUUCUUUAUUGGAUUGUGAAAUGUUGCCUGUAGUGUCUUAAGUUAUUGGACUCACCUGUAUUUCCCAUUCCGUGCCCAGUUUUACUAUUAAAACAGUUUCGGGGUGUGUUUAAAAUGAUGCUGGUCUGGAGCCGUGCCACUCAGAAGAUCUCUAUAUUGGUACACAGAAUGGUUACGUUUGAUUGGAAUGGUAAUGUGUAGUUACAUAAUGAAUACUGUAUUCUAAUCAGAAUGGCUUUCACUGAAGAUGUUUGGAUGGUGUUAUCACUGCCGCUAUCUGCUGCUUCUACCAAACGGCUGGCCAUGAGAAAGACAGACAGGCGAAAAGCAUCCCCAUAGCAACACCAUGUGUGUGAGUUUACAUCUGGUAAAGGUCAAUAACCUGUUGGUUACUGGAUUAACUCCCUUCACAAAAUUGUACCCGUCUAAAUUGAGUCAAAUCUCUAAAAUCAAGCCUUAUCGGUGCCUUUGGCACCCCUGGAGGGUAUGAUUGCUUAAUCCAGCUCUUUGGCCCUCAGGCACUGGUGUUUCCAUGUACUGUGUAUAAACAUUCACAGUUUGAGACACACACAAGGGGGCCCUGAAGGCCACAAUUAGCAGCUCACCUACUGACGGCAAUCUGUAAAGAUCAUUUAAAAAUGGCAGCCAAGCAUUUGGGCUGUAUAAACCAGUGUUGCUCUUAAUAAUCGUGUAAACAGAAAAAGUGCCGUCACUCAAAUGCCUUUUUUUAUUGCAACUUUCUUUUUGCCCCAAGCCCCCACCACCACCACCACACACUUUAAACGGCUGACAUUUGUCUGAAUGGUGAAUGUGAGUUAAAUAUAGCCUGACGAGCCUGAGAGAUGGCUCCGUCGAUCUCAAGGCCACCUCACCUCACCUCACCUCCCCUCCCUGUCUGACUCCGCCUGCUCCUCUGUGCAGUGGUGAGGCACCAAGGGGGACUGGGACGCCACCGGCGGACAAAAGGACUGCCAGCGCAAAUGUCACGCGUCUUGAGGGGGGGAAGACCGACAAUGAGAUUUGAGACAUCACGUGUGCAAGAGACAGUAAAGCUGAUAGAAGGGGGAAAGUGGAGAAUGACAGGCCACCAGUCCCACCCAUGGCAAACCCACACACAACACACAGUCCCACCCAUGGCAAACCCACACACAACACACAGUCUCAGGCCACCAGUUAGAGCUGUGUCUGGGUUGGCAGUCAGAACAUUUCAGCCCACGUCUUGGCACAGAAUCUUUGCAGUUAUGAGUUUGAAUCCCUCCUGAUUAAUCAUACGAUGGUCUCAAGUAGAGAAGUGGGAACUGAGUCAUUCCAGUUCAGUGUGAUUUAUCUAUUCAAGCGUCGUCUCAAGCUGCUCCACAGGACCGGAGCACCUGAGGAACAAACAUGAGCAGAACAUACAGAAACAGCCGCCAGGAAAACUCCCCUUGGAGGGGAAGAAACUUUGAGUAGAACCCAGCUUAGAGUGGGGAUCCCGACCUCUCCAAGUCUGGCACAUAUUAGAGGAAGAAGGAUUUGAAGGGAAGGGCAUGAAACAGGGAACCAGAAGAGGAAGAGAGGAGCGGAAGAGAGGGGGACAGGGAGUAAAAAAAAACUAAAUGAGGAGCAAGUCUACAUCUGACUGAUUCUCUGUACAGGUAUAUAUAUACAGUAUAUGUGCAAGCAGGUGUGGAGACAGCAGGCAGACAUGUUAUCGGUCAUGCAGGAUUAGAGUUGUUACAGUGGAACUGCCAAUGCAAAUCAGGAUACCUCUUCAGUGUGGGAAUUUGGAAGUAUAAUUCAAAGUGUUGCAUGCAUGAAGCAUUCCUUAUGUGCAGCCCAUGCUAAAGUAGCAUGAGUCAGGUGCACCCAAGGACACUGAGAUGCAGUAUGUUGAAGGGUUUGAGUCAGGUGCACCCAAGGACACUGAGAUGCAGUAUGUUGAAGGGUUUGAGUCAGGUACACCCAAGGACACUGAGAUGCAGUAUGUUGAAGGGUUUGAGUCAGGUACACCCAAGGACACUGAGAUGCAGUAUGUUGAAGGGUUUGAGUCAGGUGCACCCAAGGACACUGAGAUGCAGUAUGUUGAAGGGUUUGUGUUGGGGCCACAACCAAAAAACCAAUCUGGAUUGAAAGGCGACCUGCCCUGACAGACUUUCUUCUGAUCAUGUUUAAGUCAACGGACCGUAUCCCCUAUCUGUGCUAUGUAAAUGCUACCAUUAUCAGUGGACCGAAGAAGCAAACCUGACUGUAAUUGUAGGCCGUGGGAGUCAGCUGAUUGCAGAAGGAUCUGCACAGGAUGAGGGCUUCUCAACUGUAAAUAUCUAUUUUUAAAUGAGGGGGAAGCAGGGAAACAUUUGUCAUGUCAUGUCCAAUCAUUUCCAUCAUCACUGUGUUCUGCCUUUUCAGUGAGCAAAGUGCCAUGUGUUUGUGUGAUACAGCACAAAGAGUACAGGAGGUAAAAGUCCACUGUGUUCUUUAUGCUUCAGGACGUCUGUGAAUCUCUGAAUGACAGUCUUGGCCGGCUGGCUCCUCUUACUGUUUGGCCAGAAGCCCAGCAUAAGCUCAUCACACACAAACUCUUUAAACAAUCUGUUUAUUUUAGCAUCAUACCCUAAUUGUGUUGCCUUUACUAGUGCUUAUGGUUCUGAUCUGUUCAUAAUGUUCCUUGCUAUUCCCAUGAAUAAAUACCCAACAAAACUG